rnacentral:misc_RNA from 1 species
AGAGGAUGGAAUGGCAGACUACAG